AGCGCACGCACGCGGGGUGAAGAAGGCACAGGCCGCCGCACAGAGGGGAGCAAAGCACGGAGCCAGCCAGAGACCUAGAUGCCGGCCGGGACCCCACAUGUCGCGUAGUCAGGGUUCCCAGUGGAAAGGGGAGACGAGGGAGGACCUUCAUCAGAGGUCGAAUCUUAUACCCAUGCCCUAGUCCAUUUUUUCUGUCUCAUUACGACUCUGGUCAGUCCUACCACAGGGUUUCCUUUUUCUUUUUUGGUACUAAGAACUGAACUUGGGGAUGCUUAACUACUGAGCCACAUCCCCAGCCCUGGUUUAUAUUUUAUUUAGGGUCAAACUGAGUUGCUAAGUUGCUGAGGCUGGCUUUGAACUCUUGAUCCUCCUGCCUCAGCCUCUGCAGCUGCUGGGAUCACAGGCAUGUGCUGCUGCACUUGGUACCUGGUUUUCUUUAGUGUUACGUGUUUGGACUCUAUUGAGGGGUGUCUGUUUCUCUCUAGCUUGUCUUUGUAGUAGCUGUUUAUCAUUCUGACUAUGAAGGAUGCGUCUAGAGGAUGCAGGCUGGCUCGUGUCAGUGGGGUCCCCAGCCUAGCAACAGUGCACAUCCUUGCUGUCUCAAACUCAUGUCGGGCCCAAUGCCUGGGACAUGACCAGCUCCCCAGGGGGUUCCAAUGCACACCAGGGACCAAGAACCUGCGCCUCUCCUGUGUGGAAGACCCCGAGUGGGUCCUUGCUCCAGCCCUGAGCAUCUUGCUUCUCCUCUCCAGACCUCACUUGGCUAUUCACAGAACGGCGUAUUCCUUUCCUUGGCUGCUGUAGCAGAUGAGCCACAACUGUGGCGAGUUCCAGCAAAAAUUCAUUCUGAAGUUCAAAAUCAAGGUGGUAUCUCUGGAGGAGAAUACCUCCUGCGUCUUCUGGUACCUCCACACAUUCCUUGGCUUGUGACCCCAUCACUCUGCCUCUGUCUUCAUAUGGCUCCUCCUCUUCCUCCCUGUACACCUCUCCUCUGUCUAAGGACACUUGUCACUGGAUUUAGGGCCUACCCAAACCAAGUAAUCCAGGAUGCUCAAAGGAUCUGCAAAGACCUAUUUCCAAGUCAGGUCAUAUUCACAGAUUCCAGCGAUAAGGACAUGGACACAGGGGGACAUCAUUGACCACUUCCCUACCAGCAAAUCUCAGUCCUUCCUGCAAGAUCCUGUGGCUUCCCUAUUGAUUCACCGGGUGCAGGGGAAGCGAGAAUCGAGAUGACAGUGUGGCUACGUUAGCAACUGCAAAGCAAACUGUAAAAUGUAAUUUUAGUCAUUUCCAAGGUUUGACUUUAUUGUAUCUUGGAGACAAAAUAUUUUCUACACCACACGUCCCAGUAUUAUACUUGAAGUGAUUGAGAUAGAGCUGAUAUUGCGUAUUCCCAUCCAACUAUUCAUGUUAAAUAUGGUGUCGCAAUCCCACAGCAGCAGAGAGGGUCCCGUUCGUGUUUGCCAGCACUCCUGCCCUCUUCCCCCUUCAUCUUCUGGCCCUCUCGGGUGGGGCUUCAUCCCUGGCUUCUUGAUUUCUCUACUGGACCAAGUAUUCACCUUUGCCUGUGACAGGUGGGCAGUCCCAGGGUUGCCUGACCCAUCCUCCCUGGGAAACAGGGGUGCUCUGAAAGCUCAGGGGCUCCUGACCCCAAGUUCCUUGUGUACGAGUGGUCCUUGCUCCAUCCUUCCAUGUGACCUGGGUAGAACCCAAUAGGUGUGUUAACGCUGCCCCUCUUCCCAGCAGGGUCUCCC
rnacentral:lncRNA from 1 species